GACGAACGCUGGCGGCGUGCUUAACACAUGCAAGUCGAACGGAAAGGCCCUGCUUUUGUGGGGUGCUCGAGUGGCGAAAGGGUGAGUAACACGUGAGUAACCUGCCCUUGACUUUGGGAUAACUUCAGGAAACUGGGGCUAAUACCGGAUAGGAGCUCCUGCUGCAUGGUGGGGGUUGGAAAGUUUCGGCGGUUGGGGAUGGACUCGCGGCUUAUCAGCUUGUUGGUGGGGUAGUGGCUUACCAAGGCUUUGACGGGUAGCCGGCCUGAGAGGGUGACCGGCCACAUUGGGACUGAGAUACGGCCCAGACUCCUACGGGAGGCAGCAGUGGGGAAUAUUGCACAAUGGGCGGAGGCCUGAUGCAGCAACGCCGCGUGCGGGAUGACGGCCUUCGGGUUGUAAACCGCUUUCGCCUGUGACGAAGCGUGAGUGACGGUAAUGGGUAAAGAAGCACCGGCUAACUACGUG
rnacentral:rRNA from 1 species